rnacentral:lncRNA from 10 species
AUUUAUAAUCCUUUAGGUAGACAUAAGGGUUCUCCAGGUCCCCACCAGAUUAGCUAAGAUACAGAGUGCUGAUUGGUACAUUUACAAACCUUAAGCUAGACACAGUGCUGAUUGGUGUAUUUACAAUCCCUUAGGUAGACAUAGAGGUUCUCCAAGUCCCCACUAGACUCAGGAGCCCAGCUGGCUUCACCUAGUGGAUCCCGCACUGGGCCGCAGGCGGACCUGCCCACCAGUCCCAUGC